UCUCUAGUAGUCUAGUGGCUGAGACUCUGCACUCCCAAUGUAGGGGGCCUGAGUUCAAUCCCUGCUUAAGGA
rnacentral:tRNA from 1 species